AGUGAAGUCGCUCUUAGCAACCCCAAUGACUGCAGCCUACCAGGCUCCUCUGUCCAUGGGAUUUUCCAGGCGAGAGUACUGGAGCAGGGUGCCAUUGCCUUCUUCUAAACCCAGGCUACUGCAGUGAAAGUACUAAACUGGACUGCCAGGGAAAUCCCAUAAAUUAUCGUUCAAAAAAAAUAAUACAGGACUUCCCUGGUGGUGCAAUGGUUAAGAAUUCACCUGCCAGUGUAGGUAGGGGGACACAGGCUUGAUCACUGGUCCAGAAAGAUUCCCCUAUGCCGUGGGUCAGCUGAGCCCGUGAACCACAACUGCGGAGCCCACGCGCAGCUGCUCCUGAAUGCCGAGUGCAGCCUGAGUGGCCACCGCAGUGAAAAGCCUGUGCACUGCCACGAAGAGUAGCCCCUGCUCGCUGCAACUGGAGCAAGCCCACACAUAGCAACGAAGACCCAGGGCAGCCAAAAAUAAUUUGAAAAAUAAAGAUUUUAAAAAUAAUAACACAAAUUAAGGGCUGAGACCCUGCCACAUGCUCUGCAUCAAGUUAUUUGAGGGGAAAAGUCAUGGUAAGAAGAACAUUUCAUGAGAAGGCAGAAGGCCUAGAUUCUGGUCCUCUCAGUAAAAACCCACUUAACCAGCUGUGGGACCUUCGAAGAGUUUCCCGAGCCUUAGUUACAUCUUCUGAAACUAAGGGGAAAUUGUAUUAGCCUACUGGAAAAAAUAUCUAGUUCUUCUGUUUUCAGCCCGUAGAAGAAACUCUCCCUCUUCUCAGGUGCAACUCUGAGGAGUAACUUCAGUGACCUUUCCUUUGAAUGAGGGAAAGCACUGACAUUGCAUUGACUUGGCAACUAAGGCUCCCUGUCGUGUGUUAGUAAACCUGCCCAAGGCAACUAAAUGUUCAACUUGGUGACCAGUGACUGGAUUUCCUGCCCUUCCCAAGUGCCUGUGCUUGCUUUAUUAGUAGACAAGGAUCAGAGGAACCAACCAUCACAGCAGCAGGAAUUGAUAAAUUGUAGGUUGUUGUGCAAAUUAAACGAAGAGGACUAACAAAGGAAUAGCUGCAUUUCGGACAUGUUGAGUUUUGGCCAUCAGCACAUUCAUAGGCCAGGAGAGGUGGAACUGGAGACCGGAGUUGGAGCCAUCCACGCUGACAUGAUAAUUACACCUGCCACGAUACUGGAUGGGACGUCUCUAAGAUGGGGAUGCUAUCACUUAACCACACAGAGUAGUUAUGAAUCUUCAGCUAGAUACCUGAUAGAGCACUAGCAUAGCACCUAGCGCAUAGGAAGAACUUAACGAAUGGUAGCUAUUUUUUACUGUCAUUAUCAUCAGUGUCAUCGUCAUUGUCACUGAAAGACCAGGAACAAAUAGUAUCAGGUGGAAAAGAGUUUCAAGAAGAAAGAAAUGGGGACUUCCCUGGAGCUCCAGUUAAGACUUGUUUGAUCACUGUUCAGGGAACUAAGAUGCCACAUGCUGUGCUGCACGGCCAGAAAAGAAGAAAGAAACAGUUACCAGGUUCAUAUGCUGUUAAGGAAAGGAUGAGAAAAGCUAUUGAAUUUAGGGAUUAGGGAUAUUAAUCAGGGUAGGCUAACUGCGGUAACAAACAACUCCCCAAACUCAGUGGUUUAAUAAUAAAAGAUUUUUCUUGCUCA